rnacentral:lncRNA from 1 species
AGCUCUAGCACCCUUGAACACAUGAUUGAGGUAGUUUUGGCCUCACAGAUGGAACAGCUUGAUGCUUGCUCAAAAAGUGGACUCUUUAGUAUGGUUAUUUGGAUGAUGGUUUUGAUUCGGAGAGUCAAAAGCCAUGGUAUGUGAGGGCUACAAGCCAGGAUACUACACUUAAUUGACAUAUCUUCUUAAACGCCUCUGAUUUGUGACGGUUUCUCAGUCUUUCCUGCUUUUCAUGACCUUGAUGCCUUUGAAGAGAAGUG